rnacentral:rRNA from 1 species
ACGUAGGGGGCAAGCGUUGUCCGGAAUGAUUGGGCGUAAAGGGCGCGUAGGCGGCCUGGUAAGUCUGGAGUGAAAGUCCUGCUUUUAAGGAGGGAAUUGCUUUGGAUACUGUCGGUCUUGAGUGCAGGAGAGGUAAACGGAAUUCCCGGUGUAGGGGUAAAAUGCGUAGAGAUCGGGAGGAACACCAAUGGCGAAGGCGACUUACUGGACUAUAACUGACGCUGAGGUGCGAAAGUGUGGGGAGCAAACAG